rnacentral:rRNA from 1 species
UACGGAGGAUGCGAGCGUUAUCCGGAUUUAUUGGGUUUAAAGGGUGCGUAGGCGGGAUGCCAAGUCAGCGGUAAAAAUGCGGUGCUCAACGCCGUCGAGCCGUUGAAACUGGCGUUCUUGAGUGAGCGAGAAGUAUGCGGAAUGCGUGGUGUAGCGGUGAAAUGCAUAGAUAUCACGCAGAACUCCGAUUGCGAAGGCAGCAUACCGGCGCCCUACUGACGCUGAGGCACGAAAGCGUGGGUAUCGAACAGG